rnacentral:lncRNA from 1 species
CCUCCACUACCCUCCUGCCUCAGCCUCCCGAGUAGCUGGGAUUACAGAGGUGAGGGUCUCACUACAUUGUCCAGCCUAGUCUUGAACUCCUGGCCUCAAGAACCGUCUCACCUUGGACUCCUAAAACUGCUGGGAUUACAGAUGAAGAGGCUCUCCAUUCCACAUUCCCCACUGAUUUGAAGAGAUUCUCCAUGUUGGUCAGGCUGGUCUCGAACUCCUGACCUCAGGUGAUCCACCUGCCUCGGCCUCCCAAAGUGCUGGGAUUACAGACGUGAGCCACCGUGCCAGGCCCAUAUCCCCCUCCUGAUAAGACCCUCAGCUGCCAAUUUCUUGGAUUCUGUCUUUGAAUAAUGUAACUUGACUGUCCAACUUAAAAGCAAGAGAAGUUCAAGGAUGAGCAGCACUGAAUCUAUGGAGGCAAAAACCCUUGCAGAAGAAAGAGAAGCUGGAGGGAAACUGAUUGCCUCAAAGCCCAUUGCUUCCCAGAGCACAAGCCAGGGACCACCAGCCUCAGAGUCUCCAGGAGUUUGUUCAACUCAUUGAUUCCUGGAGCCCAUUCCAGACCUACUGAGUCAGAAUCUCUGGGAGUGGUAUCGUGGGAUCCAAAUUUUUAGCAAUAUUGAUUUUAACAAUAUGUAAUGCACCCUGAAGUUUGAGAACAUGUACUUUUUCUUACAGGUGAUUUUAUGUAGAGAAUUCAACUGACAAGAAGGUCCCUCGUGCCCUUAACCUUGUCCCCACCCCUUUGGGGCCCUCAGUGCUUUACUUACCAGUCCU